AUUGGAGCGUGCAUAGUGUUGCACAACUUUCUUCUUAAAGAGUCCGCAGCAUCCUCCGCCGCCUAUUGCCCGCCUGGUGCCACAGACAGCGAGGACUGGGAAGGCCGCCUUUCACCUGGAAGUUGGAGGGACGAGGAAGCAGUCGGUGGAGCGCUCUUGCCACCGAGACCUACUGGCUGCAAUGCUGCGAGGUAUGCGAAGCAAGUGCGAGACAAACUGGCGCACCACUUCGUCACAGACGGUCAAGUUCCCUGGCAAGACAAAGUGGUGAACAGCGCUUGAAGUAUACAAGUUCAAGGUGUGUUGUAAAUGCAUUUUAUUGCUUAUAGAACUUCUCGUACAUGGCCUCUUUUUGAGC
rnacentral:lncRNA from 1 species